rnacentral:rRNA from 1 species
UAGCUAGUUGGUGAGGUAAAGGCUUACCAAGGCGACGAUCUGUAGCGGGUCUGAGAGGAUGAUCCGCCACACUGGAACUGAGACACGGUCCAGACUCCUACGGGAGGCAGCAGUGGGGAAUUUUGGACAAUGGGGGCAACCCUGAUCCAGCCAUGCCGCGUGAGUGAAGAAGGCCUUCGGGUUGUAAAGCUCUUUCGGCCGGGAAGAAAUCGCAUGGGCCAAUACCCUGUGUGGAUGACGGUACCGGAAUAAGAAGCACCGGCUAACUACGUGCCAGCAGCCGCGGUAAUACGUAGGGUGCGAGCGUUAAUCGGAAUUACUGGGCGUAAAGCGUGCGCAGGCGGUUUUGUAAGACAGGCGUGAAAUCCCCGGGCUUAACCUGGGAACUGCGUUUGUGACUGCAAGGCUAGAGUACGGCAGAGGGGGGUGGAAUUCCACGUGUAGCAGUGAAAUGCGUAGAGAUGUGGAGGAACACCAAUGGCGAAGGCAGCCCCUGGGUCGAUACUGACGCUCAUGCACGAAAGCGUGGGUAGCAAACAGGAUUAGAUACCCUGGUAGUCCACGCCCUAAACUAUGUCAACUAGGUGUUGGGUGGGUAAAACCAUUUAGUACCGUAGCUAACGCGUGAAGUUGACCGCCUGGGGAGUACGGCCGCAAGGUUAAAACUCAAAGGAAUUGACGGGGACCCGCACAAGCGGUGGAUGAUGUGGAUUAAUUCGAUGCAACGCGAAAAACCUUACCUACCCUUGACAUGCCAGGAACUUGCCAGAGAUGGCUUGGUGCCCGAAAGGGAGCCUGGACACAGGUGCUGCAUGGCUGUCGUCAGCUCGUGUCGUGAGAUGUUGGGUUAAGUCCCGCAACGAGCGCAACCCUUGUCGUUAAUUGCCAUCAUUUAGUUGGGCACUUUAACGAGACUGCCGGUGACAAACCGGAGGAAGGUGGGGAUGACGUCAAGUCCUCAUGGCCCUUAUGGGUAGGGCUUCACACGUCAUACAAUGGUCGGUACAAAGGGUUGCCAAGCCGCGAGGCGGAGCCAAUCCCAGAAAGCCGAUCGUAGUCCGGAUUGCAGGCUGCAACUCGCCUGCAUGAAGUCGGAAUCGCUAGUAAUCGUGGAUCAGCAUGUCACGGUGAAUACGUUCCCGGGUCUUGUACACACCGCCCGUCACACCAUGGGAGCGGGUUCCGCCAGAAGUAGGUAGCCUAACCGCAAGGGGGGCGCUUACCACGGCGGGGUUCGUGACUGGGGUGAAGUCGUAACAAGGUAGCCGUAGGGGAACCUGCGGCUG